UACGUAGGGUGCAAGCGUUGUCCGGAAUUAUUGGGCGUAAAGAGCUCGUAGGCGGUUUGUCGCGUCUGCUGUGAAAACCCGAGGCUCAACCUGGGGCCUGCAGUGGGUACGGGCAGACUAGAGUGCGGUAGGGGAGAUUGGAAUUCCUGGUGUAGCGGUGGAAUGCGCAGAUAUCAGGAGGAACACCGAUGGCGAAGGCAGAUCUCUGGGCCGUAACUGACGCUGAGGAGACGAAAGCGUGGGGAGCGAACAGG
rnacentral:rRNA from 1 species